rnacentral:rRNA from 1 species
GGACUACACGGGUUUCUAAUCCUGUUUGCUCCCCACGCUUUCGUGUCUCAGCGUCAGUACUCGUCCAGUUGGCCGCCUUCGCCGCCGGUGUUCCUCUCGAUAUCUACGAAUUUCACCUCUACACCGAGAAUUCCGCCAACCUCUCCGGUACUCAAGCUGCGCAGUAUCGGGUGCACUUCCCGGGUUGAGCCCGGGGAUUUCACAUCCGACUUGCGUAGCCGCCUACACACGCUUUACGCCCAGUAAUUCCGAACAACGUUUGCACCCUCUGUCUUACCGCGGCUGCUGGCAC